rnacentral:rRNA from 1 species
GAUCCUGGCUCAGGAUGAACGCUAGCGACAGGCUUAACACAUGCAAGUCGAGGGGGCAGCAUGAUUUGUAGCAAUACAGAUUGAUGGCGACCGGGCGCACGGGUGAGUAACGCGUAUGCAACUUACCUAUCAGAGGGGGGAUAGCCCGGCGAAAGUCGGAUUAAUACCCCAUAAAACAGGGGUCCCGCAUGGGAAUAUUUUGUUAAAGAUUCAUCGCUGAUAGAUAGGCAUGCG